CAGUUAGCUUAGUUAGGUAGAGUGUCCGCUUAGAAAGUGGAAAGUUGUGGGUUUGAG
rnacentral:tRNA from 1 species